CUUGCAUUUAUACUAUAAAUAUACCGUACUUUACUGUCAUAAGUAAGAAGAGAAACGCUUCUUUGUUGUACUGUUGUUGCAAUUCCUAUUUCUAAAGAUGAAUUCGAGAGCCUUGCUUAUCCUGCUGUGUCUGUUCUCGCUGAUGAUUGCAGAAUAUUCUGUCCAAGGCCUAGGUUCUUGUAAGACACGUUCUGGAUGCUCACGAUGCAGAUCUGUAUGCAAGAGAAGGGGAUACCGGACUGGGUACUGCAGAAAAUCAAUUACUUGCAGAAAACCAAGGAAAUACAGGUGCAGAUGUGUGGGCAGACACGGUUGAUGUAAAAAAAAAAAAAAAAAAAAAAGACACCUGUAUCAAUUCGUGUAAUAAAUUGAAAGUAAUGCUGAUA